UACGUAGGGUGCGAGCGUUAAUCGGAAUUACUGGGCGUAAAGCGGGCGCAGGCGGUGCGCCAAGCUCGAUGUGAAAGCCCCGGGCUUAACCUGGGAAUUGCAUUGAGGACUGGCGUGCUCGAGUGCGGCAGAGGGGGGUGGAAUUCCACGUGUAGCAGUGAAAUGCGUAGAGAUGUGGAGGAACACCGAUGGCGAAGGCGGCUUUCUGGUCUGUAACUGACGCUGAGGCGCGAAAGCGUGGGGAGCAAACAGG
rnacentral:rRNA from 1 species